UCUGGGUCUACAGGCUGGACAGUUGUUGGCGGAAGUGGCUCUGAUGCGGCUAGUUAGCCGCGGUAGCUGCUGAUAAUCAUGGUGCUAUCGGCUACCGGCGAAAAUAAGGGAGGACACUGGGAGUCGGACUAAAAGGAGAAGCUGCUCGGAUGAGUCCAAGCUGUCCAGAAGUGAAACAGAGACGUGCUGCAACCAGUCAGCAGUGAUUAAUUUUCUGCAUCUGCCACAGUGUGACAACAUCCCGUCACAUGGUGGAAGUUGGAAGAAGACUGAAUUUCUCAACUCAUAACCAGAAAAGACACAGUGUGAUCUUUGAAACUGUUACCAGCCCUGAGGGUUUCCCUCCUCUGCUCAGCUUCCUUACAAAUGCGUUCUUCAGAAAGUGACCAGCGUGUGACAUCACAGCGAGUGUUUAGGGCCACCUGCUGACGACUUGAAAGCCACCUUUAACAGAUGAAACACACCUGUGGAAUGAAGUCACAGGGCAGUCUCAGCGACAUGGAGGAGACUCCAGGAGAUAAGCAGUUACUCUAGGAAAGCUGGACAGGGCUGAGGAAGGUCCUUCAUAGGAUUGGUAUCUGCUCCUGUGUGACAGGAGGAAAAGCAUGAGCACUGUCAGAGCUACAAAAUGAGCUCCAGCAGCCCGCCAGUGCGAAUGUGUCUGACCAAGCAAUCAGAAACAGACUUCAUGAGGGUGACCUGAGGUCUGGAAGGGCAUCUCAUUAGGUGAUGUGCUCCUUUAAUCGUUCUGAGCAGCUCUGUGGAACAAAUCCCGGUACAUGUGAUAUGAUGUGGGUACCACUCGCAUAUGGUGGCAUUUAGAUUUUUGGUGAUGUUACUGCUUUGUUGUUGUGUUUUUAACGUAGUUAUAUUUUUUGCUGAACAGUAGCCAUGAAGCACAAAUGAAAUUUCCAAAAGGACAAAUCAUAAAUUAAUUCUAAUAAAGGAGCAAAGCUAGCUCUGCAUCGCAGGUUAAAACAGGCCUGCAGAGCCACAGAGGACGUUUAAUAAGGUGAUGAAACAGCAGUUUUAGUUAAAAACUUCAUGUUCAAAAUGAAAAGAUACGAGCGCUCUGACAUGGAGAACAUUUUUCUGUUUUCAGAGGUAUGACGUGACCUUCAUGGCCGUGGACAGAAGCUUGUGGUCCUUUUGUGGGCAAUAAUCAUAAGAAGCUCAGGUACUCUGAUUUACCUCUGCACACAGAUCACACUACAGCUUCUGCUUUUGCUUCAUCAGCUUUAUUUAGCUCAAGAAUACGUACAGGAUAAAGAGUAAAAAGAAAAGAAAACAGUAUACAACCCCUCUCCCUCUGUGUAAAUCAUCGGGGGGAAAUAAUGAACAGAUCCUGCGUGACAGUAACAGGCCAAACAAUGUUUUUCACUGGGUGAGAAAAAGGCACAGACAGCUCUGGAAGAGGUAACACGUUUGAGAUAAAAUGGCAGUUUUACAGGGGGCAGGGAGUAGCACACAGACAGUUUGUAGUUUUUCAGAUAACGUGUGGAAAAGGAGAAGAUGAUUGUGGCCAAAUGAAAACAAUCCUCAACAUCAAAAUCACAAUAUUUCAUCAAACACUGCAACUGAAGGAUGCAAGCCUACUUUCAACUCAUUUAAUUUGAGGUAAAAUUUGUUAAAGUCAUAAAAUUUGAUCUUAAGGACAAAAAACAAAACUAAAUUCUAGUGUUUCAUCACAUUUUUACCAGCAUAUAAACAAGCUUACUCUACUGAUGCUUUAACUAACAAUAAUGGCAAGAUAAAUCGAUUAUAGAAAUAUAUAUAUGUUUAUAUAUAUAUUCAAAACCACAAUAAAAAAGGACAAAGCAAUACCCAUCAAAUUUUUUUUUUUUUAUUUUUAUUUUUUUUUUGCCGUUUGACCACACCCUCAGCAGGUUACCCACGGCUACGGGGACACGUCUGAAAGCCAAUUGAUCACCUCACAUUAGCUUAUAGAGAGUGUAAGAGAAGAUGAAGGGCACCCACCGGGCCCCUCGGGAUUAAAGAUUAGACAUGAAGAACAAUCUGCGACGAAGGGCGACUCAGGAUCUGAAGAGAACGCUGAAAUAAAACUAUCAGAACUUUCUAGUAAUUGCAUCAUUUAAAAAAAAAA